rnacentral:rRNA from 1 species
UACGUAGGGAGCAAGCGUUAUCCGGAUUUACUGGGUGUAAAGGGCGCGUAGGCGGGAUGGCAAGUCAGAUGUGAAAUCCAGGGGCUCAACCCCUGAACUGCAUUUGAAACUGUCGUUCUUGAGUACUGGAGAGGCAGACGGAAUUCCUAGUGUAGCGGUGAAAUGCGUAGAUAUUAGGAGGAACACCAGUGGCGAAGGCGGUCUGCUGGACAGCAACUGACGCUGAGGCGCGAAGGCCAGGGGAGCGAAAGGG